GUAUCCUGCCUUGAUAUAUUACACCCCCAUAUGCCUGACAUUGAUUGUAGGUCUAAAGUUAUAGCAAAAUAACCAGAGAAUUCUGCCAGUAAAAUUUUGAGUAAAAGUGGAGUUUCCCUUUAAUUGUAUUCAAGUGAAUUCACUUGACUUAUUUUUUCCUUUUUUCCCUUUUUUUUCAUUUUUCUUUUUAAUGCUCACUUUUUUAAAGCUUCUCCUGUGCUGUGACCAGAUCUUUGGAAUAGCUGGGUCACAGAGCUGACAUCAUCAUGUGAAUUAUCAUGGAGGAUAACCUGCAGGUGUAUGCGAUCCUGGGACUGUUCAAAUUCUCAGAGUGUCUAUUGCUAAAUCCAGCGACUAAGAGUCUUUUCCGUGGCUUCCGAAAGGUCAAAGAUUGUGGUAUCUCCCUAUCUACUGCCUGUCCUGGUUCAAUUUGUGGAUGUAUUACCCUUAUAUUACAGUAUUACUUCACCAAAGUUGACCUCUUGGGGACGUUAUUCUAGUUUAAGAUCUUUUAGAAAUUCCUCCAACAUUGGCAUGUGGGGAAGGAAAAUGAAAGAGAAAUGGUGUAAGAGAUUGCUUUUCUGCUUUGAACUCAGGAGUUUCCCAGUUCCCCUCUGAUCCAUCUGAGUUUCCAGAAGCAGUGAGAUGAGUGAGUGUUCCCAGGCAGAGAUGCAGCCAUCCAACCCUGGAACACUCAGAACAGAAAGAUGUAGUCAAGAGAUAAACACCUAUCUUACCCAUCAGCCAAGACUGCUCUUGAGUGGGUGAGGCUCUAGGCAAGGUUGAACUUCAGGCCUGUUGUCUCUCAGGCUUGGAGAGACACAAAUCAAGUCCAUACUGUUUUCCUUCAUUCACUGGAAUUCUAAGCCACUCCUGCUGUUUCACCAACUAAGAAAGCUACAUUUCUCCCAAAGUUGACUUUUGAGAAUAUAAUUUGUUAUCUUUCAGCCAGGCCUGUGUAUACUUGAGGCCCUAGUGAGGGGUAACAAAUUCUGUAAUUUCCCAUGAUUUAUCCAAAGCACAAGGUGGCUUAACAAGCCCUCAGAAUCCUUCUUAACACUGUGUCACUGAUACAACCUAUAAUCACUAUGUUUGCCACAAGAUCAGAGGUGGCAUUAACCCUGGAACCUUUUUUCUAUCUGCUCUAAAGCAGAAGCCUAAUUUACUUUUUGCUCCAACUGUCUCUAUUGAUAAUAAUACUUCUACUAUUAGUUAUAUCAGUGAGUGAUCUCUCAGAAUAAUCUGGCCUUUUGAUUAGAUUUGACUACAGAGUAUUAGCCACAAGAAAGGCUAUCAGGUGUAACUUAAGAGGCUCUCUUCAAUGGGUGCAAAAACAAAAUUUUUUUUUAUAUGAAAAUUCUAGAGGUGGGCACUUUGUUAGACUGAUCUGUUGUUUUAUGUCUCUGACAUUAAACUAACAUUGGCUUCUUCAGGGAGUCAAUGUCAAAAAAUGUGGCUUUUCCCUCUAUGUAUAUUCCCAAACCUGCUUUGAUAUAUGAGCCCAAAGUCACUGCGCUUCUGCUUGACCCUCUUGGUAGAGGUCAGGGAGUGAAUUGCGUUUGUGCCCUGCUCUGCACGUCCUCCCUCCAUGGACACAGGUAACAAAUGUGGAGUUUUAACAGCCACAGCCUGGUUUUGAAUUGGGCAACCAGGUUCUUUACGUUGAACAUUCUACUCAGUUCUUGCUGAAUUUGGCAAGAAUCUGAUGGUUUGAUUUGUGUUGAGAUUCUCUUUAUGAGAUUUAGUAAAGAACUGUUUUCAAUCCAGAAGGAGCUAAUAUAGAUCUUUCUUACUAGGAAUCAUUUACAGAUUCCUCUGUAGUGUCACCGGAAGCCGUGAUUCAGGAUGGCUUGUUAUACAUUCCCCACUCCCUCCUGCCACUUUCACAUAGCUUUCAGUUUGAUCAGAUGGGAUGUCUACUUCAGGUUUUGUUAUCAUUGUGCUACAGAGUCACACAGCGGAUGUAAUUUUUAAAAGAAUUGGAUAAUAUUUGAACAGUAAAGUUUACCCCGAGCCUUCUCUUGGAUCCUGUCAGUGAUUCAGAAAGGAUGCUUGUCCCCAGAUGAAACAGAACUAUGAUACUGAAAUUAAACGUAUGUUGAACUUGAGAAAAGAUUGCCUCCAUGAGCUCUGGUUGCCCAGAGCCUCAACAUUUUACUUGUGAGCAGGAAGAAAUGGCCUUAAAAUAAGAGGAGGCAUCAGGUCAAAUAAAGAAUCUUGAGUUCAUAUAUUUCAGGAUUUGUGUCACUCCUAUAACACCAUGGAAAGCGGGACACUGGGAGCGGUCACAGAUGGAAUUGCCGUAAACGAAUCUGGAAAGAAGAUGGCAAGAAGCCUGCAGAAAGCCAGGUUCCUCCGUCCUCCACUGUCUCCCAGAGUUCGCUCAAAUUCAUGUCCAUUGAGUGGGUGAUACUAUCUAACCAUCUCAUCCUCUGUUGCCCCCUUCUUCUUUUGCACAUCAGGGUCUUUUCCAGUGAGUUGGCUCUUGGCAUCAGUUGGCCAAAGUGUUGGAGCUUCAGCUUCAGGAUCAGUCCUUCCAAUGAAUAUUCAGGGUUGCUUUCCUUUAGGAUUGACUGGUUUGAUCUUGCAGUAUAAGGGACUCUCAAGAGUCUUCUCCAGCACCACAAUUUGAAAGCAUCAAAUCUUCGGCCCUCAGCUUGCUCUGUGGUCCAACUCUCACAUUUGUA